AUAAAAUAUAUGAAAACCAAUUCUAAAAAUUCUUUAUGUUUUGCAGACAUUUAAUGUGAAAUCACAAAGUUUGCACAAGCGCAAUGCCAGAUGCCAUUUAGCACGUAACAAAUGUUUACAAAUUUUGCAAAGAGCAGAUUGUAUUACCCCAAAAUCUCAGGAAAAUGUACAAUUAUUAGUUAAGUAUGUCUGAAAUUUGAGAUCUAGAUGUAUAGAACUGCAAAACCAAAUUUAAAAAAAUGGAACCCUAUGGGUGACCAAAGUAGUAUAGAAGAAAAAACUCAAAAGGUUGGGCCUUUGUGAACAUCAGUGAAUGAAACACUCAUGUUUCUGGAAAAAGAGAAGUUGUUAGUUCAGUCCUUAGUCUAACCGAUAUGCUUUAGAUGGAACUAAUGCUAUUAGUUGACUCUUGACAAAAUUGAGAGACAGAUGUGUCAGUUGCACAUAGGAAAUGUUUAUGAGUCUGGAAAAUGGAAACUCUUAAGUUAUUCUGUUAUAUAAUGAAGCCUUGAAAGUAAUGAAAUAGGAAAGUCAGGCUGACCAAGCACGAUUGACAAUAGACCUUCACUACCUGGAAAAAGAUACCAAAUUUUAGAGGGAAAGAUAAUCAGAUCUGAAGCAUAUAAGCUAUAGAAUAAAAAGAUCUCACAACUAUAAGACAUUCUAUUGUUGAAAAGCAAGGGGAAUGGCAUAGGAAGUGGAAAGAAUUUCUUGGUCUGUCUUCCUUCACUCUAAUUAAAAGUUGAACUCCAGUUGUGGAUCUUACCACCUAUGUCUCCCCUUUCAUUUGGUCUUCCCUCAGAAGUGCACGCAAAGAGUAUUCUUUUUCAGUAUCCUGCUUCACUGGAGCAACAUCACCAAGAAAAUGGUUGCAGAGGAGACAAUGAUACCUUGGGAGCUGUACAUGAUCUAGCCAACAGCCCUGCCUCUUUCUUGUUGCAGUCAGCUUCAUCAUCAGAUAGAAACAAUGCUACACCACUUGAAAAGGACAGGAAGAUGAGAACUCCCAAAGAGAAAAAUAAAACAAUUUCUAAGAAAAUACCAGAUUUUGAAGUGGAAGAUUCUCCAUUAUCAGAUGUCGCAAAGAACAGAGAGUAGUGCAUUUGGAGGGUCUCUGCCAGCUAAAAAAAAGUGGUCAGUUCCAAAAAAAAGCAAGAUCAUCUGCUAGAAGGGGUUGUUGGAGCAGUUUUAUUUGGUUCACCACAGCUCUGUGAGAGAAAAUAAGUAAAUUUAGGGGAACUAAUUGACUCUCUAGGUUCUAACCUCUUCUGAACAAGGAACCAGAUUUCCCAUACCCAUAAAACUUGACAAUGGAAAUUAGGAGCUCAUGGAGAAAAACUAUUGAAAUGGAAGAAAACAGAACUACAGAACCAAUUCAAACGGAUACUGAGCACAGAGAAGUAUUGCUGGGAUCAUUACCUGAUUUGUGUAAUCAAAGAGGAUUUAGCAUAGUCGGUUUUCUCUUAAACCACUGUAUGAGAUUUCGGCCAGUCUCAUUUGACUGAAAUGAGACUGCAAGUGUGUGCCUCAGAAAUACAUGGUGAUCAAUCAUAUGGGUGAACCACCAAUACAAAAUCAGUCUGAUUUGUUGAGUAAGAAAAUAAUUUGCGCCCAGGAUUUGGAAUGUACAGCUUUACCAACCAAGCUUUCAGAAACUAGCCAAGAAGACAUUCUCCCCUGCCAUCAGCAAUGGGAUAGAUGAGCUGGGUAGCAGUAAAGAGGAGUAUAUGAAAAUAUUGGACCAUUCACAGGAUUCCUGUAACAAACCUUCCAUGAAUAACACUACAUUAUGGAACUCUUUUCAGAUAUCAAGCGGAAUUAGUUCUAAGAGUUGUAAGGAUAUUGAUUUUAGCAUAUUUACAUUUGGCAUGAAACUUUUCCGGAGGAAGGUGGUCCCCUAAGUGUUAAAAGUUCCAGUAGCUUAGAGUCCAGUUUAAACUAGAGCCAAAUAGUCCUGUGGACAGUGGCAUUUUUCUAGGAGAUAUUAUGGUAGAUGGACAAACUACUCCAGAAUCAGACUUCAAUCUAUAGGCUGUUUGCAGUAGAUAUGAGGCUCUGAAGAAAUCUUUUUCCAAGAAAAGGGAAGAAUUUUACCUGUCUAAUCUUGAAACACUUGAAAGACACAAACCAGAAUUGAGCCCUACUCCCCAAAAUGUGCAAACAGAUGAUAUGCUUAACUAUUUGGACACUCAUGAUGUGCACAUUGAAUAUGCAAAACCACAUUUACACAUGUCCCUUGGUGAAAGAAAAGUCUCUUUCACCACUAAUUAAGUUUCCUCCAGUGGAACAAAGAUUGACCACAAUACCAUGUAGUUUUGGAGAACUUCUACCUAAUUCAAACGAAGAAGACAUCUUGAAUAAGAGCCUUGAUGCAACAGAAUCUUUGUCUGACUUGACAAGAUGA
rnacentral:lncRNA from 1 species